rnacentral:lncRNA from 1 species
CAAUAAGUUUGACUAGUGAACAAAUAAAAGUAAAAGAAGCGGUUUUUAUUUUACAAAAUAUGAAAAAUUUUAACUAUUCUAUUUGUUACAAUGAAAUUCAAAAUGUAAGAAACGAUUUACGAUUAUUUGCUAUUAAUAAUUAUAGAAACAAAAAAUAUGCAGACUGUUUAAUUCAAGCUAUUCAUUCAUAUAUGAUAGCAAAAAAAUAUUAUUUUAAAUAUUAUGGUUUUUAUAUAAAUGGUGACAUGAGUACUGAAUUAAUUUUAAUUUGUAAAUGUUAUGCUCUUGUAGAAAAAUAUGCAGAAGGAGAAAAAUAUUUAAAGGAAUUAAAAUUUUUAAUUGAUAACACUUUAUUAUAUCUGCAUAAAAAAGGAAUUUUUAAGGAUGACCAAAAGCAGAACAAAAUAGAUCAAAAAAAGGAAUCAAAUAAAAAAGGGGAAAUAAAUCUUAAUGAAAACAAUACAGAUUUAAAUUUUGGAGAGCCAGUAAUAUAUUGUGGCAUGGAAGUAUUAUCCAAUUUACUUUAUAUUUUUGCUGAUAUAUUAAGUUUAUAUAAACAAAAUGAACAAGCAGAACAUUAUUUUUUAAAAUAUUUAUAUGUUAUAGAAAAAUGUUUUAACUCUGAUAGUUUAAAUUAUAGUGAUGCAUUAAACGAUAUUUGUUCUUAUUAUAUAAAAAUACAAGAAUAUGAAAAAGCUUUACCAAUUGCUCAAGAAAUUUUAGAAAUAAGGAAAAAAUUUUUUGGUGAUUAUAAUUCAGAAAAUCCAAGUGAAAUAAUAGCUGAUUGUUAUUGUAAUUGGGGCUUAUUGUAUAGACUUUCAAAAAAUCCAAUAGAAGCAUUGCAUAAGUAUUUAAUUGCAGUGGAUAUGAGAAUGAGAAUACAUAAAACGAGACAUACAAUAGAAGUUCAAGAUAUUUUAUUUUCGUUUGCUAUUAUUAUGCAUCAGUUAAAUAAUUUUAAAAUGGCAAUACAACUAUAUAAAGAAGUAUAUCUAUUUUAUAAAAAAUUUUAUGGACCUGACGAUAUUAAUACUCUAAUGGUUGUUAAUUUAAUGAAUGAUUUAGAAAAAGAUAUUAAACGAGAAAAUGAUCAUGCAGGUGUAUCUACAACAAUUAGUGACACUUAUCCUACGAAUAAUAUCAGUUCUAUGACAAAAAUAAAUGAAACCUUAAAAAGAAAUACAAAAUUUGAAAAAAAUUGGGAUACUUUUAAUAAACAAUUACAAAAUAUGCAUCAUACAUCCGAUAUAGAUCCUAAUUUAAUUGAAAAUCUUAUGAAUGAAAAAGUUAUGUUAAACCCUCAAAACUUACCAUAUAA